rnacentral:lncRNA from 10 species
UUAUUUUUGGCAGAUUUUGAUGGAUGUACAUUGAUGGAUAGCCACGUGGAUCCAGAAAAUAAAGACUUCUACUCUGCAUUUGACUAAAGCAGAAGAUAUGCAAGGAAGCUCAGUCUCUCAAUUGAGUGGAUUCUGAAAUUUAUCCUGUUGUCUUCAGCUACUAAGGCUAAUUUGCAAAUCACACUGUGCACGGACGGCGUCUCGCUGUGUUACCCAGGCUGGAGUGCAGUGGCGCGAUCUCAGCUCACUGCAACCUCACCUCCCGGGUUCAAGUGAUUCCUCUGCCUCAGCCUCCGGAGUAGCUGGGACUACAGGUGACAAAAAAAUGACUUCAUAAAUGUUUUGCUUACAAGACUAUAAUCUACCUAAGACCAAGCCCGGUGGAAGAAACCACUCCAAAGUAUUUUGGGAAGAAAGAAAAGACCUCUUUUAUGACACACAUCUACAAAGGACAUAAAGAAUUAUAAGUUGUCAAGUGAGAAAGACAAUAGCCCAAAUUUAUACGGGUAUUUGUACUAGAAAGUGUUAGUGAAGGAGAUUAAGAUAUUAGAAUUUCCCUAUGAGGUAGUUGUUGUCUUACCAUAACCGGAUGGCCUUUUUGUGUCUAUCUAGUGUAGUAAUGAAUCAUUUUCAUCCUUCAUAAUAGACUCCCUUUGGAGGAGUCACAGGACAAUUUUGACUCACAAUUAACCCUUCUUUAUACAGAGUAAGAAGAGAGGGUCAUCCCACUGUAAUUUCCCUAUAUGGUUUACUGUCUUAUUGAUGAA